ACUCAGUAAAGGCAUCAGUAGACACACACUCUUAAUUUUCAUACACACAGUGUAAUUGUUCUUCUGUGUAGAUAUUUUUAUGGUAUGAUAUUUAUCAGUGUGACACAUCCACCAAUUUCUCUCCUAGGGAAAAACCUCAAAGUCUGAACCUUGAGAAAUUGUGAUGGAGUGGCAACACAGAAGGAUCUAGUCAAAGUCUUCACACAAGCUAUUUUUAACCUGGAUGUGUUCUGCGAUUUGUUUCCCACACAGCAUUGAAACUGGCACAGCUGAGGGGAGCCAGCAGAGCCAGCCCAGCUCCCAGGUCCUCCAGGAACCUUGUGGGACCUUGUGGAAGAGAAGAAAAAACCACCCUGAGUGUGUUGGCCCCACAGAAGAGGAGUUUUCAGCACGUGACCUGCGGCCGCACUGCCUGGCCUGUUUCCCAGCACUCAGUGAAAGGUAAGUGAGAAAGCAAGCUUGUUUUCAGCAGGCACAAAUCCAAGGAAUUGGCUGUGUGACUGGGAGAUGGCUCCAUGGGUGGGAGAAAAAAGUAAAAAUGCCAGUAGGGAUUACUCCCACCCAGAAACAUGGAUAACCAGCAUGGCACCUCAUGGAGGGGAGGUUGCUUCAGAGCGCAACCGCCCUUCAUUUUGCUGUUGGUUUUUGUUGUAUCAAUGUGAGAUACUCCUGUGUCAGUCUCUCCUUGAACCUCUGUCUUCUAAGGGCUGAAAUAAAAAACCAGCAGAGAACCA
rnacentral:lncRNA from 1 species